rnacentral:misc_RNA from 1 species
UUGAAUUGUAGGACGCUCUCUUUAGAGGUCCGACCUUUCAUUUUCUCACACUGUGCACAACACUACUUUUUACACCCACACUUUACUCGUAUAAGUCUAUUAAAGAAUGUAUACAAAGUCUCUUAAUUGAGCAUUGAAAUAGUA